rnacentral:rRNA from 1 species
GGAGUCUGGGCCGUAUCUCAGUCCCAAUGUGCCCGAUCACCCUCUUAGGCCGGGUAACUAUCGUCGCCUUGGUGGGCCGUUACCUCACCAACUAGCUAAUAGUACGCGGGCCGCUCUCUGUGCGGAUCAAAAGAUCCUUUCCUGUGUGCCCUCUGACAGCACACAGCGUAUCCGGUAUUAUCUCCUAUUUCUAGGAGCUGUCCCCGUCACAGAGGUACGUCACCCACGCGUUACUCACCAGUCCGCCGCUCUAGGAUCAGUGCAAGCACCAAUCUUACCGCUCGACUUGCAUGCUUAAGACGCGCCGCCAGCGUUCGUU